rnacentral:rRNA from 1 species
AUUGAACGCUGGCGGCAGGCUUAACACAUGCAAGUCGAGCGAGCGGCGGACGGGUGAGUAAUGUCUGGGAAACUGCCUGAUGGAGGGGGAUAACUACUGGAAACGGUAGCUAAUACCGCAUACCAUCAGAUGUGCCCAGAUGGGAUUAGCUAGUUGGUGGGGUAAUGGCUCACCUAGGAGACGGUCCCUAGCUGGUCUGAGAGGAUGACCAGCCACACUGGAACAGAGACACGGUCCAGACUCCUACGGGAGGCAGCAUUGGGGAAUAUUGCACAAGGGGCGCAAGCCUGCUGCUGCCAUGCCGCGUGUGUGAAGAAGGCCUUCGGGUUGUAAAGCACUUUCAGCGAGGAGGCGUUACUCGCGGAAGAAGCACCGGCUAACUCCGUGCCAGCAGCCGCGGUAAUUC